rnacentral:rRNA from 1 species
GACAGAGGAGCCAAGCGUUGUCCGGAUUGACUGGGCGUAAAGCGCACGCAGGCGGUGCGGCACGUGGGGUGUGAAAGCGGCCCGCUUAACGGGUCGAGGCCAUCCCAUACGCCACACUCGAGAGUGGCAGAGGUUCGUGGAAUUGCCGGUGUAGUGGUGAAAUGCGUAGAGAUCGGCAGGAACACCAAGGGGGAAACCAGCGAACUGGGCCAUUCUGACGCUCAGGUGCGAAAGCG